AAAUUGCUUGAACCCAGGAGGUGGAAGUUGCGGUGAGCCGAGAUCGUGUCAUUGUACUCCAUCCUGGGCAACAAGA
rnacentral:snRNA from 1 species